GGCGGCAUGCAUUACCAUGCAGUCGAACGGCAGCGGGGGAGAAGCUUGCUUUUCCUGCCGGCGAGUGGCGAACGGGUGAGUAAUACAUCGGAACGUGCCCUGUAGUGGGGGAUAACUAGUCGAAAGAUUAGCUAAUACCGCAUACGACCUGAGGGUGAAAGUGGGGGACCGCAAGGCCUCAUGCUAUAGGAGCGGCCGAUGUCUGAUUAGCUAGUUGGUGGGGUAAAGGCCUACCAAGGCGACGAUCAGUAGCUGGUCUGAGAGGACGAUCAGCCACACUGGGACUGAGACACGGCCCAGACUCCUACGGGAGGCAGCAGUGGGGAAUUUUGGACAAUGGGCGAAAGCCUGAUCCAGCAAUGCCGCGUGUGUGAAGAAGGCCUUCGGGUUGUAAAGCACUUUUGUCCGGAAAGAAAUGGCUCUGGUUAAUACCUGGGGUCGAUGACGGUACCGGAAGAAUAAGGACCGGCUAACUACGUGCCAGCAGCCGCGGUAAUACGUAGGGUCCAAGCGUUAAUCGGAAUUACUGGGCGUAAAGCGUGCGCAGGCGGUUGUGCAAGACCGAUGUGAAAUCCCCGAGCUUAACUUGGGAAUUGCAUUGGUGACUGCACGGCUAGAGUGUGUCAGAGGGGGGUAGAAUUCCACGUGUAGCAGUGAAAUGCGUAGAGAUGUGGAGGAAUACCGAUGGCGAAGGCAGCCCCCUGGGAUAACACUGACGCUCAUGCACGAAAGCGUGGGGAGCAAACAGGAUUAGAUACCCUGGUAGUCCACGCCCUAAACGAUGUCAACUAGUUGUUGGGGAUUCAUUUCCUUAGUAACGUAGCUAACGCGUGAAGUUGACCGCCUGGGGAGUACGGUCGCAAGAUUAAAACUCAAAGGAAUUGACGGGGACCCGCACAAGCGGUGGAUGAUGUGGAUUAAUUCGAUGCAACGCGAAAAACCUUACCUACCCUUGACAUGCCACUAACGAAGCAAAGAUGCAUUAGGUGCUCGAAAGAGAAAGUGGACACAGGUGCUGCAUGGCUGUCGUCAGCUCGUGUCGUGAGAUGUUGGGUUAAGUCCCGCAACGAGCGCAACCCUUGUCUCUAGUUGCUACGAAAGGGCACUCUAGAGAGACUGCCGGUGACAAACCGGAGGAAGGUGGGGAUGACGUCAAGUCCUCAUGGCCCCUUAUGGGUAGGGGUUCCCACGUCAUACAAUGGGGGAUACCAAAGGGUUGCCCAACCCCCGAGGUGGGGCUUAUCUCCAAAAAAUGCUUCUUAAUCCCGGAUCCGUAUUCUGCAACUCCCACUACCUGGAAGCUGGAAAUCGCUAAGAAUCCGCGGAUCACCAUGCCCCCGGGAAUACGUUCCCGGGUUUGGUACCACCCCCGCUCACCCUGGGGAAGGGGUUUUCCAAAAUAUUAUUCUAACCCCAGAGG
rnacentral:rRNA from 1 species